GCUUGUCUCAAAGAUUAAGCCAUGCACGUCUGAGAAUAAAGAGUUUUCUCUGAAUCUGCGAAUGGCUCAUUAUAUCAGUUAUAGUUUAUUUGAUAGUCCUUUACUACUUGGAUAACCGUAGUAAUUCUAGAGCUAAUACAUGCUGUUUUGCCUGACUCUGUGGUAAGGCUGUGCUUAUUAGUACCAGAACCAACCCAAGUUCUGCUUGGUUGCAUCCUGAUUCAUAAUAAACGAAUGGAUUGCAUGCUUUGGCUGGCAAUGUAGCAUCUAAGUUUCUGACCUAUCAGCUUCCGACGGUAAGGUAUUGGCUUACCGU
rnacentral:rRNA from 1 species